AUUGAACGCUGGCGGCAGGCCUAACACAUGCAAGUCGAGCGGUAGAGAGGUGCUUGCACCUCUUGAGAGCGGCGGACGGGUGAGUAAUGCCUAGGAAUCUGCCUGGUAGUGGGGGAUAACGCUCGGAAACGGACGCUAAUACCGCAUACGUCCUACGGGAGAAAGCAGGGGACCUUCGGGCCUUGCGCUAUCAGACGGGCCUAGGUCGGAUUAGCUAGUUGGUGAGGUAAUGGCUCACCAGGCGACGAUCCGUAACUGGUCUGAGAGGAUGAUCAGUCACACUGGAACUGAGACACGGUCCAGACUCCUACGGGAGGCAGCAGUGGGGAAUAUUGGACAAUGGGCGAAAGCCUGAUCCAGCCAUGCCGCGUGUGUGAAGAAGGUCUUCGGAUUGUAAAGCACUUUAAGUUGGGAGGAAGGGUCGUUACCUAAUACGUGACGAUUUUGACGUUACCGACAGAAUAAGCACCGGCUAACUCUGUGCCAGCAGCCGCCGUAA
rnacentral:rRNA from 1 species